GCUUACGGCAAUAUCAGCUUGGGUACUCCCGAUCUCGUCUGAUCUCGGAAGCUAAGCAGGGUCGGGCCUGGUUAGUACUUGGAUGGGAGACCGCCUGGGAAUACCAGGUGCUGUAAGCA
rnacentral:rRNA from 1 species